rnacentral:rRNA from 1 species
GUAAGAGCAUUUGGUGGAUGCCUUGGCAUGUGCAGGCGAUGAAGGACGUGGCACGCUGCGAUAAGCGUCGGGGAGUUGUGAGCAAACUUUGAUCCGGCGAUUUCCGAAUGGGGAAACCCACCCUCACCAUUUCCUUUCGAUCGACCUUCGGGUGGAUCGGAAAGAGGUGGAUAGGGUAUUACCAGACUGAAUAUAUAGGUUUGGUGAAGCGAACCCGGGGAACUGAAACAUCUCAGUACCCGGAGGAAAAGACAUCAACAGAGAUUCCCGUAGUAGUGGCGAGCGAACCGGGACCAGGCCAGUGCCUUCAUUUCAACUAGCAAAACACUUUGGAAAGAGUGGCCAUAGUGGGUGACAGCCCCGUAUGCGAAAGUGAUGAUGAAGGACUCGAGUAGGGCGGGACACGUGAAAUCCUGUCUGAACAUGGGGGGACC